CUUGAUCGAGCCGAGCCACAGUGGCCGGUCCUCGGGCCGGUCCUGGCCGUAUGUGGCGAUCAGGGCCUGGGCUUC
rnacentral:antisense_RNA from 1 species